rnacentral:tRNA from 2 species
GGCCCCAUCGUCUAGUCCGGUUUAGGAUGCGUGGUUCUCAGCCACGAGGCACGGGUUCAAAUCCCGUUGGGGCUA